UAUGUGCUCGCGUUCUGGGCGGCUCGUCCACGUCUUGAGAUACGACGCAUUUAAUGGCGAAGCAAUAUACUAGAGACCAGAUAAUGAUGGGAAAUAGAGGAUACGUAUCGUGGGGUUGCUGAGCUGUGGGCCAGGAAAUGGCGGAAUGACGGCCACCGUUACCCCGUCGGAGUUGAUCCGUGGCUCGGGACGCCCGCCGGCCGCCGCCGUCCUGAUCCGUGGAACAGGAAAAACAGUUCCCCCUCCCCCCCACACCCGCCACAAGCAAGGUCAACAUCCAAGGAUCUCUGCCGGCGUGCGAAGGAGCAUCCCGAGAUCUGGCUCAUGGAGUUCGUGAUGCAACCAAUACAAAGAUCCCCUUUGAGUGAGGAGGCGGAUGGAAGUGUAGCGCCGAUGGAUCUGCUGGCUUUCGGGACGGUGGGCUCUCUGCGGGAAGUGGAUGAAGCGACGGCCGCAGCCUUGAGUGAAGACCCGCGGAUCUAUGAAGAAGAAACAAGCGUUGACUCAAGACGGUAGAGCUGGCCGCAGGUGUUGGUCUGCUGGAGAUUUCAAUCGGCAAGUUCUGAUCCGAAUAAUACAUUAUGAGUUUCUGGCUCUGAGCCUCUAAAAAUCGGGGUAAGAGUACUUGCAUACAGCUAUGAUAUUCUUCGUUAGAGUACAGAUGUGAGUGCACUUAUUUGUACAAAUUAGUCAUGAAAUGGUGAACAUCAGCGACUUAUAAGUGUGGAUUACGGGUAGGUGAAGUGUUGGAAAAAGUACUUGGGCAAUUUGUACAGCUAUGUCUUGUUCUAAUUUCACUGUUUGUAAGCAGAACAUAGUUUCUGUGCAGUACAUAAAAAUGUUUGAUGUUGCUGAAUUGUGGGAAAACUAUAUACUGGCGAUUCCACAUGCACAUUGAUGUGUACAUCAAGGAUCUCGUGAAGCACUCUGGCAAAACACCAUCAACCUGGGUAAAAUAUACAACAUUAUCACUAGUUUCAUUCACUAAGCGUAUGCUGAGGUCCAUGUGUGGUAGCUGAGUCGGGAGCAGGCACAGAUGUCAUGAGGAUGAUGGAGGUGUUCACCGAAUUAGGAGCUAAUGAUCCGCACUUCGCUUAUCGGGCCCAAGCCGACAUGGAGAGAUGUGCGGUAUACCAAGUUGAAGAGUUGGAGAAGAGCAGGUUAUAUGUUGUGAUACACACAUAGGCGGGGCGGAGGGAAAAGUGGUGCAAGGUAUCCUACAAGGUGACAAUGCUUGAUGGUGGGGAAGGGUUCGGUUGCAAAUGUGACCAGUUUGCUCAUAUGGCCUUCUCUACAGUCACAUUCCGAAGGUAAUGGAGCUUGUCCGUCUAGGAGGCACGUGCGGACGCAUACGACCAGCUAAAUGCAUUGUUCAUGGCCAAUCUUCUGGAGAUGCAAAUCUUCGCUGAGUUGAGAGAUGGGCUAGGAUUGCAUCUAUUUUUAGGUCCUUUCAGGUGAAAAUCUGAGCUACUAUUUUGUUUUCUUGAAGAGCAUCAAGUUUAUGAUCAAGAACGCCCUCAAUCUGGUCAGUCCAUUUCUUGGAUUGCAUCUAUUUUUAGGUCCAUAACUUCAAUCUGCCAGGUUUUAUUGCAACCGAACAGAUGUUGUUCCUCCUAACUGAACUUAAAUUUACGUGUGCUUUAAGAGCAGAUAUUAGUUAGUUUCUGAUACUCAUGAUUAAUGGAAAAUUCCAUCUAGUGAUGCGUCCAUUUUAUGUGUGCUUUAAGCGAAUUAUCUUGAUAGCACAUGGAUUGCCUGGAAUGCCAACCAUGUCUUGAUUGAAAGCUAUUUCUUGUACUGCAAACAUUUACACAUUGUCGUACCAACCCUGCGAGUUUUAUGGAUAGGCAUGUCUUUGAGAACAAUAAUAUCAUCACAGUUCUGUCCAUGCAUAUUUAUUGUUCAUUGUUCUGAAAUUAUGUGGACGAUAUCAGCAUUUUUAUUACUUUAUUGUCGUAUCUCAUGAAUUCGAUAAUUCAAGUGCGCACAUUUUGUUCACUGCUUUUAUACCAUGGACAGAUUAUACAAGAAUUGAGAAGUGAUUUUCUUUUCACAGGAUGUACGUCACUGUUGCACAUGCUUUACUCACUUCAUGAUCUUGCAGUAUGAACACCAAUUGAUAGUGAUAAUACUCAUACUUUUGAAAAAUCGUGAUUGUGUAAGGAGGGAUUGUACAGUGCGGUUCAGUUUCCAGUAGUCCAACAUGAAUCAUUUGUGAAGCAUGAAAGGCAUGAAUCAAUUCUUUUUCAGGAUUCUGGUUUGUUGACUUAAGUGGGUAUUGUUAGGAGCUAGAGCGGUUAAAUUCAGGAACUGUGUGUUAAUUAAGUAGUCUUAAUUGUGCUUUAUACUAUAACUAGUACAAUGCCCCUGCGUUGCCACGGGCCUUUAAUUUUUUUCAUGUUGGUGUAUAAAACUUGAUGAUAUUUUUGCGCUGUUCAAUGACAUCGCAUGGGGACCCUUGUCGAUGUUUUUAAACAUCGACAUAAUC